rnacentral:rRNA from 1 species
UACGGAGGGAGCUAGCGUUGUUCGGAAUUACUGGGCGUAAAGCGCACGUAGGCGGCUUUGUAAGUUAGAGGUGAAAGCCCGGGGCUCAACCCCGGAAUUGCCUUUAAGACUGCAUCGCUUGAAUCCAGGAGAGGUGAGUGGAAUUCCGAGUGUAGAGGUGAAAUUCGUAGAUAUUCGGAAGAACACCAGUGGCGAAGGCGGCUCACUGGAGCUGGUAUUGACGCUGAGGUGGCGAAAGCGUGGGGAGCAAACAGG